rnacentral:rRNA from 1 species
GAUGAACGCUGGCGGCGUGCCUAAUACAUGCAAGUCGAGCGAACAGACGAGGAGCUUGCUCCUCUGACGUUAGCGGCGGACGUGUGAGUAACACGUGGAUCACCCACCUAUAAGACUGGGAUAACUUCGGGAAACCGGAGCUAAUACCGGAUAAUAUAUUGAACCGCAUGGUUCAAUAGUGAAAGACGGUUUUGCUGUCACUUAUAGAUGGAUCCGCGCCGCAUUAGCUAGUUGGUAAGGUCACGGCUUACCAAGGCAACGAUGCGUAGCCGACCUGAGAGGGUGAGCGGCCACACUGGAACUGAGACACGGUCCAGACUCCUACGGGAGGCAGCAGGAGGGAAGCGUCCGCAAAGGGCGAAAGCCUGACGGAGCAACGCCGCGUGAGUGAUGAAGGUCUUCGGAUCGUAAAACUGUGUUAUUAGGGAAGAACAAAUGUGUAAGUAACUAUGCACGUCUUGACGGUACCUAAUCAGAAAGCCACGGCUAACUACGUG